rnacentral:rRNA from 1 species
AACGAACGCUGGCGGCAGGCUUAACACAUGCAAGUCGAACGGGUGUAGCAAUACAUCAGUGGCAGACGGGUGAGUAACACGUGGGAACCUUCCUAGGGGUACGGAACAACUCAGGGAAACUUGAGCUAAUACCGUAUACGUCCGUGAGGAGAAAGAUUUAUCGCCCUUAGACGGGCCCGCGUCGGAUUAGGUAGUUGGUGGGGUAACGGCCUACCAAGCCUACGAUCCGUAGCUGAUCUUAGAGGAUGAUCAGCCACACUGGGACUGAGACACGGCCCAGACUCCUACGGGAGGCAGCAGUGGGGAAUUUGGGACAAUGGGCGCAAGCCUGAUCCAGCCAUGCCGCGUGAGUGAAGAAGGCCUUAGGGUUGUAAAGCUCUUUUACCAGGGACGAUAAUGACGGUACCUGGAGAAUAAGCCCCGGCAAACUUCGUGCCAGCCGCCGCCGUAACAC